UUGAUGAUCAAACGCACACACACAAAUUAGCAUUGGCCUUGAAAGCAGAAAACUACCCUGUAGAACCAAAGGGGUCAAUUGACCCCUCCGAACUAGUUCUGCGCUGUUUACCGCGCAACUAGCUACGCAACUAGUUACGCGGGAAGCGAACGCAGACCAGGUCUUCGUCGACUACAAUGUACUAGUUCUGCAACUAGUUACGCGGGAAGCGAACGCGGACCAGUCGAAAAAGAUCCGAAAAACGAAACCGCCUUCGGUUUGUUUUUGAAGGCGGCAAAUAACCGCAAUUCCGUGAAGUUACAGUGCCCACUCAGCUAGUUUUUACCGAGCCACGACAUGCAAUGAGCACCGAAAUGGUACGUGCAAAUACUUUUAGAAACUCUAAAACAGGAGAAUGCAGUUAUUCGUGAUCAAUUGAAUGCAGUGGUCCAAAUUUUAGCGGAUCAAACUGUUUUAAUAAAGCAGCUGGUAAAGGAGAAGGGGGAAUUGAAUCCCAUUCGGGGACAGUUCCCUAUAAAACGUGAGGAAGAACUUAUAGAACUGGAAGAAAAAAUAAAAUUAAAUAGAGACAUUUAUAUAACAGCAAUGAAAUCAAUUCUCCAGUGCCAAAAACCAGGAGUAGGCUAAGCAUCAUAUAAUUAAAAAUUAUUCGUUAUAAUGAAAGACAUUGUGUUUUUAUUUUUUUAUUAUUCCAGACUGCCAGAUUGACUACUACCAGUAGUCAGUUCGGAACUAGUUACUGGUAACUAGGUCAGAGCUAGCUACAGGUAAUCGAAGGGUAGUCGAGUGGGGAACUAGUUGCUGGCUUUCUACUGGUAACUAGUUCGGAACUACCUCCUGAGCAACUAGCUACGGGUAAUCGAAGGGUAAUCGAGCGGGAACCAGGGGUGGUUCCGCCCUAGGACAUGCAUGUGUUAAAUUCUCCGCUGAAAUACAUUGCGGGUAAUCGAUCUGGAACCAGGGAGCAGCAGAAACAAUGAGAGAACAGACAGUGGAGGCAGACAAGACGAGACAAGACCCAAAGCCUUGACCCAAAGCAAAACGAAGAAGAACAAGCGAAAAAACUCAAGAACGAAGGGCUAACUUCGAAAGUCGAGGCUAAUGAUACCCUUCCCAAGACGUUAAUGUCGUGCAGUUGAUGAAACUUUUUCGGACCGACGGACAUGUCUAUACUAUUAGACUCCGCUGUGGGUGCUCAAUCUCAAGCGCAAGCAUCUGGUCAAAAUCAUUAAGCUCUUUGCGAAGGGUACAAGAAACUGACAUGGAUAAAAGUGAAACUCGCAAAACGAAAAAGGAAAUAACAGCAAAAGCAAGCACGAAAGUGAGAAAGAGAGCAGAGAACGUGGAUCAGAUCAGCAAGAGCGGGCAGGACGGAGCUAUCCCAUGCACAUGACGGAAAGGGACGGCAAGGAGCGGGAGCGCUGGACUGCCGACAGAGACAGUCUGUCGUCGUCUGUCCCAUCUCCCAAUCUGCCCAUCCCUCUCGCACAAAAUGCAAACGAUCAACCGUUAAAAUAAUGAACUUCCUUAAAAGAGAAUUUUGCACAAGGCAAAAUCAAAUAAACAAGAAUAUUUUAUUUAAUAUUUGUGCAAAUAUCGAAUACGUUUCAUUCGCGCAGCUGUGGCCCCAGCCGAGAAUUAGUCAAAGGAAAUAUCAAGGUUAUAUAAGCGAUUCGAGCAAUUGUCGAUUACACUGCGCAGCAAAAAACUUGAUUCAAAUAUGAAAUUUUCUGAUGAAAUAGGAAAUAUUUUAAAUUUUCCCUAAUCAGAGCCGCAAGUAAUUUCAAUUCACUUUCGUCCAGCAGCACUCUUCGUCCGAUUCCCUGUUACGCAGUGUAAUUGAUAAAACUUUUUUGAAUAAAUAUUUGAAUUGCUGAACGAACGCCCGACCACAUGUUGGGGAAUUUCACUCUCUCACACAUUCGCACACAUUUUGCACAGUCUCAUCUCAUUUU
rnacentral:sRNA from 15 species